rnacentral:rRNA from 1 species
GACAGAGGUGCCAAGCGUUAGGCGGAAUCACUGGGCUUAAAGCGUGUGUAGGCGGAUCGUUAAGUACCUUGUGAAAUCCCACGGCUCAACCGUGGAACUGCUGGGUAUACUGGCGAUCUUGAGCCACCUAGGGGCGAGCGGAACAAGCGGUGGAGCGGUGAAAUGCGUAGAUAUUGGGAAGAACACCGGUGGCGAAGGCGGCGACCUGGUCCUUGACUGACGCUGAGGCGCGAAAGCGUGGGGAGCAAACAGG